rnacentral:rRNA from 1 species
UACGAAGGGGGCUAGCGUUGUUCGGAUUUACUGGGCGUAAAGCGCACGUAGGCGGAUCUUUAAGUCAGAGGUGAAAUCCCAAGGCUCAACCUUGGAACUGCCUUUGAUACUGGGGAUCUUGAGUCUGGGAGAGGUGAGUGGAACUGCGAGUGUAGAGGUGAAAUUCGUAGAUAUUCGCAAGAACACCAGUGGCGAAGGCGGCUCACUGGCCCGGUACUGACGCUGAGGUGCGAAAGCGUGGGGAGCAAACAGG